rnacentral:misc_RNA from 1 species
GAACGCAUCUUGUGCUUCUUGGUAUUCCAAGAAGCAUGCCUGUUUGAGUGUCAUUAAAUUCUCAACCAUAUCAAUUGUUCUUUGAUGUGGAUUUGGAUAUUGGGGGUCUAUUUUUGCAGGCCUUUUUUUAAAGUCUGCUCCCCUUAAAUGAAUUAGUGGUUACUUUGGCAGAACCUACUGAAGGUAUGAUAAUUAUCUAUACCUUUUGGUAGUGUCCCUGUGUUUUAAAGCUGCUUCUAAUAAAUGAUAAAUCUUGAUAUAUUUGAUCUCAAAUCAGGUAGGAUUACCCGCUGAACUUAAG